GGGGAAUAUUGGGCAAUGGACGCAAGUCUGACCCAGCAACGCCGCGUGAAGGAAGAAGGCUUUCGGGUUGUAAACUUCUUUUAAGGGGGAAGAGUAGAAGACGGUACCCCUUGAAUAAGCCACGGCUAACUACGUGCCAGCAGCCGCGGUAAUACGUAGGUGGCAAGCGUUGUCCGGAUUUACUGGGUGUAAAGGGCGUGUAGCCGGGAAGGCAAGUCAGAUGUGAAAUCUGGAGGCUCAACCUCCAAACUGCAUUUGAAACUGCUUUUCCUGAGUGUGCGAGGGGGAAUGCGGAUUCCUUGGGUUGCAGUGAAAAGGGUAGAUAAUAAGAAGAACAACCAGUGGGAAGGCGGAUUUAUGGGCCAAUACCGACGGGGGGGGGCCAAAGGGGGGGGAGCAAACA
rnacentral:rRNA from 1 species